rnacentral:misc_RNA from 1 species
GAUGAAGAACGUAGCGAAAUGCGAUAAGUGAUGUGAAUUGCAGAAUUCAGUGAAUCAUCGAAUCUUUGAACGCACAUUGCGCCCCUUGGUAUUCCAUGGGGCAUGCCUGUUCGAUCGUCAUUUGUACCCUCAAGCUCUGCUUGGUGUUGGGUGUUUGUCCCGCCUUGCGCGUGGACUCGCCUCAAAGCAAUUGGCAGCCGGCAUAUUGGCCUGGAGCGCAGCACAAUUUGCGCCUCUUGUCAUGAUUGUUGGCAUCCAUCAAGACCAUUUUUUUGCUCUUGACCUCGGAUCAGGUAGGGAUACCCGCUGAACUUAAGCAUAUCAAUAAGCGGAGGA